rnacentral:rRNA from 1 species
UACGAAGGGGGCUAGCGUUGCUCGGAAUCACUGGGCGUAAAGCGCACGUAGGCGGACUCUUAAGUCAGGGGUGAAAUCCUGGAGCUCAACUCCAGAGCUGCCUUUGAUACUGGGGAUCUCGAGUCCGGGAGAGGUGAGUGGAACUCCGAGUGUAGAGGUGAAAUUCGUAGAUAUUCGGAAGAACACCAGUGGCGAAGGCGGCUCACUGGCCCGGUACUGACGCUGAGGUGCGAAAGCGUGGGAGCAAACAGG